GGCUGCAGUAUUUAGACCUGGUCGGUACCUGCCUUCAGCACCAGAUCGUUACAGCUACCAAAGUGACCGACACCACUAGACCUGUUUGCCAUUGGCUGCUGUUCUACAAGCUCCUCGCAUUUCUGCCGUGCAACCCUUCUGCUCGGAUCCCUAUCCUGGUGAACUUCUACACCAUCGAGAGCAUCCUCACCAACUGUGUAACAGUUUGGUAUGGCAACUGCUCUGCCCAUGACCGGAUAGCACUGCAGAGGGUGGUGAAAACUGCCCAAUGCAUCACCGGUUAACCUAACCUGCUACUACAUUGCACAUAUCUGUACAUGUUGUUCAUACAUUGUUCAUAUUACAUAGCCAUAUUUAUUCUGCUCUCAUAACACUGCAAUAAAUGUAUUGUCCUGUUUAUGCACCACCUGUGUAUACUUGAAUAUCGCAUUGCACUUUCUGCUCUUUUUUGCAC